UCUCCGUGGGCGCAUCGAUGCUGUCUAUGCUCAUUCUCCGUGGUAGGAGAAUGAGUGUCCAGUGAAUAACGGGAAUGGUGAUUAACAAAGCUGGUUUGUAGCCUAUUAUCUGGGAAGCUGGCUGGAGUAAAUGGAGCAGGAUGACAGACGGCGACUCCAACUAUACACAGAGAAAAAAUAUAGGACAGCCGUGUGCUGCCACCGCCCUGAGCUAAGGUUAACUCUGCGAGUCUGUGCUCAGAGCGCUCAAACAAAAGCACUGCGAGGGCCUGUUUAGUACACAAAGUGCCAUUAUAUGGUGGAAAGGUGCCAUUCAUGCCACUGCUUGUGUCAUGAAUGGCACAAUAUAUGUGACCGGGGGCCACUAUGGAUCUAGAGGAAGCAGCACCUAAGAAAAAAUGCAGGCCUACAGGCCGGACAUCAAUGAGUGGAUCAUUGUCACAAUAAAUCUUCAUCCAGAGUAUGGCCUGUGCUCUGUUUCUCUGAACAACAAGCUGUACUUGGUGGGAGGACAGACUAAGAUCACAGACUGCUAAGAUCCAGAGAGAGAUGAGUGGAGGCAGUUGUCAAUGAUGAAGGAGAGGAGGAUGGAGUGUGACACUGUAGUGAUAAAUGGCUGCAUCUAUGUGACUGGGGGAUAUUCCUAUUCAAAAGGGACGUAUCUGCAGAGCAUUGAGAAGUAUGACCCUGAGCUGGGCACCUGGGAGGUUGUGGGAAGCCUCCCCAGCCCAACAAGAACACACUGCUGCGUUUGUAUUUACAGUGUGCAGUGUCUUUCAAUGUACUUUUACAACAAACCUCAACUAAAUCCUGUGGAUGCAGUUCCUUUGUGCCAUACUGAUCAUGAGUGGCAGGUGCUAUACGUUUGUGACAGGUGCUAAGAAUCUUUUUACAAAAAGUGACAUUAUUUAGAGUAUCUUUAUAACCAUUUGGCCAAAAACAAAUGUUCAGUGACAAAUGACUGCUGCUGGUUUAAUAUUACAAAAAAAGCACAUCGUUUUCAAUCCACUUAAAUUGAAUGGCUUCUAACACACUGGUUCUCAUGCACUUUAACAUUACCAUUUGUGUACUUUUAGACUGGUAAACCUGAUAAAGCACUGAUAUGCACAAAUGCACACAGUUUUUAGACAAAUCUCUACACUUGAAGCACAAAUGUCAACAGGUGGGUAUCAACCUUACAUCUGAAUCUUAGGGUUUGGGGUAUGCACAAUUAAUCAGGUUUCCUAUGUGGAGACCUCGGAUUCUGAAAAUAAUGAACUAAAACAACUAUACUGUGGCUGAUUGAUGCAGUUCAUGCACCAGAUUUUACUUGUUGAUAAAUGUAACGUUCAUCUACAAGAUGGUGCGCAUAGAUGUGGUGGUUGUAUGUUCAUUGAUUUCGUAGAGUGUGAUGUGUGA